GACGAACGCUGGCGGCGUGCUUAACACAUGCAAGUCGAACGGAAAGGCCCUGCUUGCAGGGUACUCGAGUGGCGAACGGGUGAGUAACACGUGGGUGAUCUGCCCUGCACUUCGGGAUAAGCCUGGGAAACUGGGUCUAAUACCGGAUCGGAGCCAUUUUUAGUGUGAUGGUUGGAAAGUUUUUUCGGUGUAGGAUGAGCUCGCGACCUAUCAGCUUGUUGGUGGGGUAAUGGCCUACCAAGGCGGCGACGGGUAGCCGGCCUGAGAGGGUGGACGGCCACAUUGGGACUGAGAUACGGCCCAGACUCCUACGGGAGGCAGCAGUGGGGAAUAUUGCACAAUGGGCGCAAGCCUGAUGCAGCGACGCCGCGUGGGGGAUGACGGCCUUCGGGUUGUAAACUCCUUUCGCUAGGGACGAAGCUUUUUGUGACGGUACCUAGAUAAGAAGCACCGGCUAACUACGUG
rnacentral:rRNA from 1 species